rnacentral:rRNA from 2 species
GCUCAAAUUUGAAAUCUCACAGGGUUACCUGUGCGAAUUGUAGUUUAGAGAAGCGUUUUCGGGGGCGACUUGGGUAUAAGUCCUCUGGAAAGGGGCAUCAUAGAGGGUGAGAAUCCCGUUUAUGGUCCAAUGUUCGCUCCUAUGUGAUACGCUUUCCAAGAGUCAGGUAGUUUGGGAUUGCUGCCUAAAAUGGGUGGUAAAUACCAUCUAAAGCUAAAUAUUGGCGAGAGACCGAUAGCAAACAAGUACCGUGAGGGAAAGAUGAAAAGAACUUUGAAAAGAGAGUUAAACAGUACGUGAAAUUGCCAAAAGGGAAACGCUUGGAACCAGUAUUGCUUGCAGGUAAUCAGCCGCACGUCCCGCAAGGGUCGCGUGUGGUGCACUUGCUUGCGGGCAGGUCAGCAUCAGUUUGGCUCGAGGUAAAAAGCCGGAGGAAGGUGACUUGGGCUUCGGUCUGAGUGUUAUAGCUUCCGGUCAUGCCCCGAGCUGGACUGAGGUCUGCAGCGUUUUUGGGAUUCCAGAUCGCCUUUCGAAGCUUGCGUCCAGACAGCAUGCUGACUGGAUGUAAGUCUAGGGAGCUCGGUAGGGUUCAUCACUCCAACGCUUAGGAUGCUGACGAAAUGGUUCCAAACGACCCGUCUUGAAACACGGACCAAGGAGUCUAACAUAUAUGCGAGUAUUUGGGUGGCAAACCCUUAUGCGAAAUGAAAGUGAACUUAGGUGGGAUCUUCGGUGCACCAUCGACCGGUCUGGAUUUUUUUGAUAGAUCUGAGUAAGAGCAUAUCUGUUGGGACCCGAAAGAUGGUGAACUAUGCCUGAAUAGGGUGAAGCCAGAGGAAACUCUGGUGGAGGCUCGUAGCGAUUCUGACGUGCAAAUCGAUCGUCAAAUUUGGGU